rnacentral:rRNA from 1 species
UACGGGGGGGGCAAGCGUUGUUCGGAAUUACUGGGCGUAAAGGGCUCGUAGGCGGCCAACUAAGUCAGACGUGAAAUCCCUCGGCUUAACCGGGGAACUGCGUCUGAUACUGGAUGGCUUGAGUGUGGGAGAGGAAUGCGGAAUUCCAGGUGUAGCGGUGAAAUGCGUAGAUAUCUGGAGGAACACCGGUGGCGAAGGCGGCAUUCUGGACCAUUACUGACGCUGAGGAGCGAAAGCCAGGGGAGCAAACAGG